GGUUGAAAGAUCCUUCAGUACCAGCCAACUCUCUCUCCUGGUUCCAUGUUCACUCUGCUACUUUCUAAUUAUUACUCCAGGUUGGAGGGAUGGAUGAUGGACAACAACUUUUCUCAUCACUGGAAGGGCAUGUUCCCCACUGAAACUGAAUCCACUGUUUUUUGUUUGUUUGUUUAUUUGUUUAUUUUUGUUUUUGAGACAGCGUCUGGCUUUGUUGCCCAGACUGGAGUGCACUGGUGCAAUCUCGGCUCACUGCAACCUCUGCCUCCGGGGUUCAAGAGAUUCUCCUGCCUCAGCCUCCCAAGUAGCUUGGACUACAGGCACGCACCACCAUGCCUGGCUAAUUUUUAUAUUUUUAGUGGAGACAGGGUUUCACCAUGUUGGCCAGACUGGUCUUGAGGUCUUGAUAUCCAAGCUCCUGGCUGAUCUGGGAGCCACAGCAGGGGUCAGGGCCCUGUGAUCCCCAGCCUGAAACUGGCAGUCAGAUUUCACAGGCUUCAGACCACAGAGGAGCACUAGGACCCCACCAGAGGUGGUCCGGAGGCUGACCUGAAGGCCCUGGGGAUGGGCUAUGCAAGCUGAUUGCUCACUGCGAGUAGCAAGAGUAUGUGUUUUUCUGGAAGGAAUGAUUGGAAUAUCCAAGGACAUGAGGGGAGAAGAAAGCGGUAAAAUGGCAUUUGCUGUAAAAGAGUGGGAAAAAAAUUGAAUUACUCCAAGGUUCGUUGUGUUCUUCCAGCUCCAUCUAUGAUAAAGAGAAUGAACAACUAGGUGUUUUCCUUCUGGACAAUGAUUAUGACACAGAUUACUGCUGGGACCAGAAGUAUUGCCACUUUGGACAACAUGGAAUAGAAGGAUUAUUGAGAAUCACUUAUAAUGAGAUGUUACUUCAAAUUAGGAAAAAUUUGAUAAACAAAUUUAUAAUACAAAUGAUUAUAAAAACCU
rnacentral:lncRNA from 1 species